rnacentral:rRNA from 1 species
AUUGAACGCUGGCGGCAUGCCUUACACAUGCAAGUCGAACGGCAGCACGGGGCAACCUGGUGGCGAGUGGCGAACGGGUGAGUAACGCAUCGGAACGUACCUUUCAGUGGGGGAUAACGUAGCGAAUGUUACGCUAAUACCGCAUAUUCUGUGAGCAGGAAAGCAGGGGAUCGCAAGACCUUGCGCUGAUUGAGCGGCCGAUGUCAGAUUAGCUAGUUGGUGAGGUAAAGGCUCACCAAGGCGACGAUCUUUAGCUGGUCUUGGAGGACGACCAGGCAGACUGGAACUGAGACACGGUCCAGACUCCGACGGGAGGCAGCAGUGGGGAAUGUUGGGCAAUGGGCGAAAGCCUGAUCCAGCCAUUCCGCGUGAGUGAAGAAGGCCUUCGGGUUGGAAAGCUCCUUCGCAAGAGAAAAAAACUUACCCUCUAACAUAGGGUGAGGUUGACGGUACCUUGAUAAGAAGCACCGGCUAACUACGUGCCAGCAGCCGCAGUAACAC